CGCCGUCGCGCCCGACGCCGAUGUUCGCUGCCUCCACGGCUGCGUCGCACCCCUCGACCCCGCCGCGGUCGACAAGCUUCGCGUCCGUCCCCCUCCUUCGCCCUCUCCCUCCUCCUCCUCCUCCUCUCUCUCCCUGCCUGAUUGAAACUCGAUCCCCGUCGCUCCCUCAUCGCCUACCCCGCGCCGCCGCCCUCGCUCCGGCCAGCUCUAGAGGCACCGCCGUGUGUCGCCUUCUCCGCGUCGCUGCUGCCUCGAGAUGCAGGCUCGGUGUGUGCGGCCGUCGGAAUCUGCCCCGUGAUUCGGCUGAAUCCCCUUGCUGGAUGCUGCCCCGUGAUGUAGCUUCAGUUUAUCUGGCAGGAGCUGAAGUCAGGUAACAAGCCACGUGUUGUUGGAAAAAGGACUCCACGAGUGCCUGUUGCAAGCAUGUACCACUGAGAUGACAAGAUAGGUCCAUCAAAUAGGCAAGCAAAACCAGACGCUAAUAAUGGUGAUGAGGAAGGUGAUCUAGCUGCUUUAGCUCUGGCAGAGGUCUAUCAAAGAGGCGGCUCGCCUCAGGUUUCUCAAGCAUCUGGAAGAUCUAGUGGCCAAAUGUUCCUGUCUCCUGGUAAAAGUAUCGACAGAAAAAAUGCAGAUUCAGAGAUGGGAAGUUCAAAGAUGCAUGGAUUUCAAGUAGAAGAUUAUCCGGAAGGUAGCUUAGGAAGGAGGGAAGCAGAGACUGGUGACUAUCGCAAAGAUGUUUCCUAUUUUCUGAAUAACGAAGGUUCUGCAUCUGGCAAGUCUAAGCCAAAAGUUAAGGAGAUGCAAAAGAUGCACAAAAAACAGACGAUCAAUUCGAGGAUGACAGAGAGGCUUGCAGUGGCACUGAACAAGGAUAUAGUUCCAGAAAGGCUAAAGAUGAAGCAGAUGUGGACGUAUUUUGAAGUAAAAUUUCAUGGCCAUCUAACAAAUCAAACAAAAGAAGCCGCCAACUAUUUUUUGGUCGUAUGCCUGUUCUAGCAACAUCUUUUAUUUUUUCACAGCAGUAAUGAAAUUAUUGAAAUACAAUCAUAGCAUUAUUUCUUCUAGGCUUCUAGCAUGGGUCAAACUAUUAGUAUGGUGGUUUAAGGGGCCUGAGUCUCAUCUUUUCUAAAGUUGUGCAGUGUUUUCUCAACUACUGAAUACAAUGCAGACAUCCGAACUAUCAAAUGCCAAUAGUAUUCAGCAAGAUGGACAAAUUGGUUGAGUUUCUUCUUAUACGUACAUCAUUUUCUCGACCAUCUGAUGAAAAAUAAGUAUGUCAUGUGUUGGCAUUGCCUAUCAUCAGUUUUUAUUUCAUAAUAUUUAUUCUCCUGUUGGGUUGUUGCAUCCUGCAAAUAAAAAGUCAAUCUACCUACAAACUUCCUCAGGAGGAUACCUUGUUGGAUUUCUUGCUUUGAUAUCUACAUAGCCCAAAAUCUUUGGUCCUGAUUGCCUGACUGGUCUUUGUUCUGCAGAUGAAUUGUCAGCUCUCGACGCAUUACAUACAUUAGCUGAUAUCUCUGUGAAUAUUCUACAACCUUCUUCUAUAGCUGAAUCUGGAUGAUCUGAAGCACCCAGAAGAAGUAGAGGACAGGUCAGGAGCUGGGAACAAGAAGCUUCGUUUAUCAUUGAUGUUAUGUGUGAUUAAUAAACACUUCUGCUUCUCAUCCAAUCUUUGUCGAACUAUGUUGAUGUGUGAUUAUGCACUUGUUGGGCCCUUUU